GAUGAACGCUGGCGGCGUGCCUAACACAUGCAAGUCGAACGGACAGAUGAGGAGCUUGCUCGUCUGACGUUAGCCGCGGGCGUGAGAGUAACACGUGUAUAACCUACCUAUAAGACUGGGAUCACUACGGGAAACCGGAGCUAAUACCGUAUAAUAUAUUGAACCGCAUGGUUCAAUGGUUAGAGACGGUUUUGCGGUCGCUUAUAGAUGGAUCCGCGCCGCAUUAGCUAGUUGGUAAGGUAACCGCUUACCAAGGCGACGAUGCGUAGCCGACCUGAGAGGGUGAUCGGCCACACUGGAACUGAGACACGGUCCAGACUCCUACGGGAGGCAGCAGUAGGGAAUCUUCGGCAAUGGGCGAAAGCCUGACGCAGCAACGCCGCGUGAGUGAUGAAGGUCUUCGGAUCGUAAAACUCUGUUAUUAGGGAAGAACAGCUGUGUAAGUAAACAUGCAGGUCUUGACGGUACCGAAUCAAAAAGCACCGGCUAACUACGUG
rnacentral:rRNA from 1 species